GUGCUUGCUUCAGCAGCACAUAUACUAAAAUUGGAAUGAUGUAGAAAAGAUUAGCAUGGCCCCUGUGCAAGGAUGACACGCAAAUUCGUGAAGCAUUCCAUAUUUAA
rnacentral:snRNA from 1 species